rnacentral:rRNA from 1 species
GACGAACGCUGGCGGCGCGCUUAACACAUGCAAGUCGAGCGAAGCGGCGGACGGGUGAGUCACACGUAAGUAACCUGCCUUAGACAUUGGGAUAGCAUCGGGAAACCGGGAUUAAUACCAAAUGGUCCAAGAUGGACUCGCGGCCCAUUAGCUAGUUGGUGAGGUAACGGCCCACCAAGGAGACGAUGGGUAGCCGGCCUCAGAGGGUGAACGGACACAUUGGAACUGAGAAACGGUCCAAACUCGACGGGAGGCAGCAGUGGGUAAUAUUGCACAAUUGAGGGAACUCUGAUGCAUCGACGCCGCGUGAACUAAGAAGGCUUUCGAGUCGUAAAGUUCUUUUAUAUGGGAAGCGGUACCAUAAGAAAAAGCCCCGGCUAACUACGUGCCAGCCGCCGCGGUAAUAC